UUGUCAUUUGUUAUUUGUUCAUUGUCUAGUGCUUGGGUUGAUUGUGUCAGUGCUCCACCCACAUAGCGGUGGAGCCAGGAUGUGAUGUAAUGGCAGAAAGAAGGUGUGUCUCUGUCUUUGCUGGUUUGAUCUUGCCGUUUGCAGCUGCCAUGAACAGUGGUCCAGCCAUGCCUGCCUGUCUUGGAGCCAACUGAAACCUCCAAAAACUUUAAUCUCUUAUGCACAAUGUUGGGCCCACCUUGAGACAAAUACCUGCCUGAUCAUUCUAGCCUUGAUGAACCCUCUGGAACUUUGGUGCUUGACUGCAAACCCAUUCUAGGUAAAUUAUCUAAUCUGCUUGCUAUGUACUGGUUUCACGGGGCACAUUCUGUGCUAUGGAGAACUGGAAGUACCUGUACCUGUUUACAUGUCUCACUCACUGAAUCUGUGUGUCCAAAUUGCUCUUUACAGUCAAAUGAAACUGGAGUGCCAUUUUCUUCCUGUGUAGAUUUUGAAGGAGUCAAUGAAUUUUUAAUGCUUGCUAAUCCUUUUUUUUUUUUUUUUCAGAAAUGGAAUUUUGGAGGCAGGGUCAAGUCGAUAGGGCACUUCAUAUUUAAGAGGUGUCUUCCCACGUUUGAGGGAAAAGUGAAAUACAUACAAAGAAGCAGCUCCAUUCACUUACAUAUCUUCCUGCCCAUUGUUUGUAGCUAGUGACUUUAAUCAUGCAUUAAUAUCUCAGGCUACCUCAAAAUUCUCAAAGUAUUCCCCAAACACAGCUAACUUAAGUUGAUAUAUUUCAUAGGCAUAUAUCACAUAGCUACGAAAGAAAAAGGUAUGUCUUGGGACUUCAAAAAUGAUUGAGAAUGCCAAUUUUAGACUGGUGACGGUAUCUGAUCCAAUCAAUGCAUACAGUCCUUUUAAGACUAGUUAGCUUUGCACAGAAUAAAUCUAUAUUUCAGUGAAUUAUAAAAUUUCAAGCCUUAGUGAGACCCUGUUUAUGCCAUUCUGUGAUGGAAUUGAUGGCGCGUGCGUGUGUGUGUGUGUGUGUGUGUGUGUGUGUGUGUGAGUCUAUGUGUGAGUCUGUGUGUGCACAGUGUUUGGGAGGUGAGUGAAGAAUGGAGAAAAAGAGUUAUUAACAGUGCAAAUCUAUCCUGCUGCCGGUAGUAGUGAAACACUGGCCUGUUUAUUAUAUACAAGCUAAUGAAUUUUGAUCUUUUAAAUCUUUAAUGCAAUUAAAUUACUUCUCUUUUAGGUUCUUUCCUGGAAGAGAAUUUUAAAGGGACCAGGUCACAAUGAAACUUAAAGAAACACAAUAUCGUAUUAAUAUUUCCAUAGAAGAGGAAAUAAAAUUUAUAUCACCUGAACAAAUAA